GACGAACGCUGGCGGCGUGCUUAACACAUGCAAGUCGAACGGAAAGGCCCUGCUUUUGUGGGGUGCUCGAGUGGCGAACGGGUGAGUAACACGUGAGUAACCUGCCCUUGACUUUGGGAUAACUUCAGGAAACUGGGGCUAAUACCGGAUAGGAGCUCCUGCUGCAUGGUGGGGGUUGGAAAGUUUCGGCGGUUGGGGAUGGACUCGCGGCUUAUCAGCUUGUUGGUGGGGUAGUGGCUUACCAAGGCUUUGACGGGUAGCCGGCCUGAGAGGGUGACCGGCGACAUUGGGACUGAGAUACGGCCCAGACUCGUACGGGAGGCAGCAGUGGGGAAUAUUGCACAAUGGGCGGAAGCCUGAUGCAGCAACGCCGCGUGCGGGAUGACGGCCUUCGGGUUGUAAACCGCUUUAGCCUGUGACGAAGCGUGAGUGACGGUAAUGGGUAAAGAAGCACCGGCUAACUACGUG
rnacentral:rRNA from 1 species